AAUUGCACAGUGUGGUUUACCAAAGUGCGAUAUCGCAGUUGCUGUGUCAAUGUAUCAGGCAAGAUAUUGCGCUGAAGAGGUUUAUUGUUAAGUUGAACGAAACGGUGCAGUUGGGUUUGCCGUUUUUUCUGCCCGUUUCAGGACUUUGUGGCAUAAGUGUUAUUUUUUUUCUUUUGAAUUAUAUGUGUACCAUGAGUUUGGUUUUGUGGCUGCGUGUUUCAGCCUUUUUUAUCUGUCUUGUUUUCGUGGCUUUGAUUUUUUCAGUUUCUGGACAAUUGCUUAUUGAUGAGACAGGUAAAAUUUUUGAUACGUUGGUCAAGUGUCCUUGGCAUAUUUGGAAUGUCAGGAAUCGUAAAAUUUAUUUAAUUUGUUUGACUCAUUGUGUGAGGCCUAACUGUAUUUCAUACGCUGGAAUUACCCUCAAUCGUAGUUUUCUAAUUACGGUUUUUUACAAAACGGUGUCUAAUGCCUUCAUUUUGUACCAAGUUAGAAAUUCUUGAUGAAAUAAGAUAAAAUUUGCAAUUCCAACUUAACUUUAACUCUGUAAAACAAAAAUUUUACGAAAUUUUAUUAUCUACGUGAUGCCACAUUCUUUUUAUUAAAUAAAAAAAUUCAAUUUUUCUACAGCCGUCAAAAAAUCGUGACAUUUAUGCAUGGUUACCUAUGCGCGAAGUUUGACGUUUUUUCACUGUGAAAAAAUAUUAUUUUUUCACGGUUUCACAGUG